rnacentral:rRNA from 1 species
CACGUAGGGCGCAAGCGUUGUCCGGAAUUAUUGGGCGUAAAGAGCGCGUAGGCGGUCCGGUAAGUCCGCUCUGAAAGUCCGGGGCUCAACCCCGGGAGGCGGCGGAUACUGCCGGGCUAGAGUCCGGAAGAGGCGAGUGGAAUUCCUGGUGUAGCGGUGAAAUGCGUAGAUAUCAGGAGGAACACCGGUGGUGUAGACGGCUUUCUGGACCGUAACUGACGCUGAGACACGAAAGCGUGGUAGCAAACAGG